CGGCGGACGGGUGAGUAACACGUGGAUAACCUACCUAUAAGACUGGGAUAACUUCGGGAAACCGGAGCUAAUACCGGAUAAUAUAUUUAACCGCAUGGUUCAAUAGUGAAAGACGGUUUUGCUGUCACUUAUAGAUGGAUCCGCGCCGCAUUAGCUAGUUGGUAAGGUAACGGCUUACCAAGGCAACGAUGCGUAGCCGACCUGAGAGGGUUAUCGGCCACACUGGAACUGAGACACGGUCCAGACUCCUACGGGAGGCAGCAGGC
rnacentral:rRNA from 1 species